UAAUAAGCUAUUAAGGGCUAAUGGUGGAUGCCUAGACUGUAAGAGGCGAUGAAAGACGUAUUAGGCUGCGAUAAGCCUCGGGGAGCUGCCAAAGAGCUUUGAUCCGGGGAUUUCUGAAUGGGGCAACCCAAUAUAAUGAGAAUUAUAUUACCCUACGGGGAGCGAACCUAGUGAAGUGAAACAUCUCAGUAGCUAGAGGAAGAGAAAUCAAACGAGAUUCCCAAAGUAGCGGCGAGCGAAAUGGGAUUAGGACAAACCCAAUGCUUGCAUUGGGGGUUGUAGGACCAUGAUAUGAGACUAAAGAGGAUAGAUGAAAUACUUGGAAAAGUGUAGCAUAGAAGGUGAAACUCCUGUAAUUAAAAUUCUCAAUAGCUCUAAUGGUAUCCUGAGUAGGUCGGAACACGUGAUAUUUUGACUGAAGCCGGGGGGACCACCCUCCAAUCCUAAAUACUACUUACAGAUCGAUAGUGAACAAGUACCGUGAGGGAAAGGUGAAAAGUACUCCAGCGAGGAGAGUGAAAUAGAACCUGAAACCAUUAGCUUACAAUCAUUCAGAGCCCUAUGAUUUAUCAGGGUGAUGGACUGCCUUUUGCAUAAUGAGCCUGCGAGUUGUGGUAUCUGGCAAGGUUAAGUCAAGUACGAAGCCGUAGCGAAAGCGAGUCUUAAUAGGGCGAAUUAGUCAGAUGCUGCAGACCCGAAACGAAGUGAUCUAUCCAUGAGCAGGUUGAAGCUGGUGUAAGAGCCAGUGGAGGACCGAACCCGCAGGCGUUGAAAAGUCUUGGGAUGACUUGUGGAUAGGGGUGAAAGGCCAAUCAAACUUCGUGAUAGCUGGUUCUCUCCGAAAUAUAUUUAGGUAUAGCCUUGUGUUGUAGCAUAUGGGGGUAGAGCACUGAAUGGGCUAGGGCUGCUUACCGCGGUACCAAACCCUAUCAAACUAUGAAUACUAUAUGUGGAAUCACAGGAGUCAGGCGGUGGGUGAUAAAAUCAAUCGUCGAGAGGGGAACAACCCAGACUAACAGCUAAGGUCCCUAAGUUACAUCUAAGUGGAAAACGAUGUGGAGUUACUGUGACAACCAGGAGGUUGGCUUAGAAGCAGCCAUCCUUUAAAGAAAGCGUAACAGCUCACUGGUCUAGUGAUUCUGCGCGGAAAAUAUAACGGGGCUAAGAUGUACACCGAAGCUUUAGAUUCAAUUUUUAAUUGAGUGGUAGGAGAGCGUUCUAUUCAGCGUAGAAGAUGUACCGGUAAGGAGCGUUGGAGCGGAUAGAAGUGAGCAUGCAGGCAUGAGUAGCGAUAAUUGAGGUGAGAAUCCUCAACGCCGAAAACCCAAGGUUUCCUACGCGAUGCUCGUCAUCGUAGGGUUAGUCGGGACCUAAGUCGAGUCCGAAAGGGGUAGACGAUGGCAAAUUGAUUAAUAUUUCAAUACCAACAUAUAAGCGCGAUGUGGGGACGCAUAGAGUUAAUCGAGGUCACUGAUGGAAUAGUGGCUCGAAGGACGUAGGCUGUUAAGUAGGCAAAUCCGCUUAACAUUAGGCCGAGAUCUUACAGGCUCUUGACACUCUUCGGAGGAGAUGGAGAAUCGAUGAUACUGUCGUGCCAAGAAAAGCCACUAAGUUUAUUAUAUGUUGCCCGUACCGUAAACCGACACAGGUGGGUGGGAUGAGUAUUCUAAGGCGCGUGGAAGAACCCUGGUUAAGGAACUCUGCAAACUAGCACCGUAUCUUCGGUAUAAGGUGUGCCUACUUUUGUAUAUGAACUUGCUUCAAAAAGCGAAAGAGGUUGCAACAAAGAGUCCCUCCCGACUGUUUACCAAAAACACAGCACUUUGCUAACACGUAAGUGGAUGUAUAAGGUGUGACGCCUGCCCGGUGCUCGAAGGUUAACUGAUGAUGUCAGCGCAAGCGAAGCAUUUGAUUGAAGCCCGAGUAAACGGCGGCCGUAACUAUAACGGUCCUAAGGUAGCGAAAUUCCUUGUCGGUUAAAUACCGACCUGCAUGAAUGGCGUAACGAGAUGGGAGCUGUCUCAACCAGGGAUCCAGUGAAAUUGUAGUGGAGGUGAAAAUUCCUCCUACCCGCGGAAAGACGGAAAGACCCCGUGCACCUUUACUACAGCUUGACACUGUAGCUUGGAUAUUCAUGUGCAGGAUAGGUG
rnacentral:rRNA from 1 species